GAUGAACGCUGGCGGCGUGCUUAACACAUGCAAGUCGGGCGAAGCAGUUAAGUUGAUUUCUUCGGAUUGAUUCUUAACUGACUGAGCGGCGGACGGGUGAGUAACGCGUGGGUGACCUGCCCCAUACCGGGGGAUAACAGCUGGAAACGGCUGCUAAUACCGCAUAAGCGCACAGAGCUGCAUGGCUCGGUGUGAAAAACUCCGGUGGUAUGGGAUGGGCCCGCGUCUGAUUAGGCAGUUGGCGGGGUAACGGCCCACCAAACCGACGAUCAGUAGCCGGCCUGAGAGGGCGACCGGCCACAUUGGGACUGAGACACGGCCCAAACUCCUACGGGAGGCAGCAGUGGGGAAUAUUGCACAAUGGGGGAAACCCUGAUGCAGCGACGCCGCGUGAGCGAAGAAGUAUUUCGGUAUGUAAAGCUCUAUCAGCAGGGAAGAUAAUGACGGU
rnacentral:rRNA from 1 species